GCUAUCAAAUGCAAUGGAAGGGAAGUAGUGACUAACUUUGAGGCAAGUACAUAUGAAGGAGAGAUGAAAUCUCCAGCCAUCAAUGAAGGUGGCAUUCCUAAUCUUGAACUUAAUUUGGGCAUAGCAACUCCAGGACAUGGUCUGAAAGAAAAUAGGGGGCAACUCCAGUUCUCCUGGGUCCCUUACAGCAUGCAUGCUGGAAGAACAAUGGUGAAAACCAAUGUUAAGAAACAGUGACACAUCUUCUGAAGAGACCAUAUCUGAUGAUAACCGUUCCAGCUUAUAACAAACACCAAUAAAUAUGUGUUUGAUGUGGAUAACCUUAUUUAAUUUAUGCUCUUAGCUGUAGAAAAAGGUUGUAGAGGAAUGUUCCAAAUUAUAGAUCAGUAAUUUGUAAAAAUGUAGGAGAUCAUGUGGACCUUAUGCUAAGUGAAUGUUGUUUUUCUUAUUUUAAUUGAAAUUCUCAGGGCUUCCUAAGCUUCAAAUGCUUAAAA